rnacentral:rRNA from 1 species
AGUGAACGCUGGCGGCAUGCCUAACACAUGCAAGUCGAACGGCAGCUCAGGGUCAGGUGGCGCUUAGGUGUGUCACGUGUCGGACGCUGCAGUUAUACAUGGGAUUCUUCUCUGUCGGGGGUGAUAACAUCGGGAAACGUACUCGAAUACAGCAUACGUCGUACGGGUGUGAGCAGGGGAUCUUCUGGCCUUUCGGUAGGGAAUGAGCCUAUCUCGGAUUCGCUAGUUGGCGGGGUAAAGGCCCACCAAGGCGACGAUGGGUAGCUGGUAUGAGAGGAUGAUCCGAUACACUGGAAGUGAGACACGGUCCAGACUCCGACGGGAGGCAGCAGUGGGGAAUCUUGGACAAUGGGGGAAAGCCUGAUACAGCAAUACCGCGUGGGUGAUGAAGGCCCUCGGCUUGUAAAGCCAUUUUGUCGGGAAAGAAAAGAAGCACGUUAAUCCCGCGCUGUUAUGACGGUACCCAAAGAAUAAGCACCGGCUAACUCCGUG